UUGACAAGAGUAUUGAAGUCUAGUUACCAGGUCAAUUGUAGCAGAAGUGGAGGUGGGAUUAGUUGGUGGCCACAGCCUUUGCUAAUCUCUUUUCACAGCCUGACUACUUGAAGCAACAACUCAGCGCCCAUCUCCAUUUGUUUCCAUCUGCUUUGGAGACACGGCCUGCCCUUGUGGUUAUAAUACUGCUUAACCACGUGUUGGUUUCUCUUUUUAUUAUCCUUCAGUCUUCAGUCUUUCUGUUUUGCUGGCUGUUUUCUUUUUCAACACAGUGUUCAUCCAACUUUGCAGCUGGAACUUCUCCACAGUUCCAUUCUCUCUGUGGCCUCUCCUCCCUGGACUCUCUUGUCCUACAGGUUACCACUGUUUUUAAAAUUAAGAGAUGGCCAGAAUUCAUUUUCCUUCUGUCACAAUGACAGGGCAGGAAUUGUUAGAACCAUAUCCAGACCUUGUGAUUCAAAUAUUAGGUAAAAUGUGACUGCCUUAGGUGUGAUGAUAAAAGAAUAAACCAACAAACUUAUAAGUGAAUUGGUCCCAUCGUAACUUUGUCCUUUUCCCUUGAAAGGUUCUAGUGCUCCGUGUGGGAGUCUGCAGUGUACGAAAAAACACAUCAGUGCUGAGCUUUCACCUCUAUCAAAGCAGGUACGUAUAGAGUAUGAGAGAGAGACCGUGGUGAGCCCCUGGACAACUUUUCACGAGAGUCCUGCUUCCCUUCUACAGGACUUGGCAGCAACCGAAGAAGAGCUAGAGCCUCCUUUCGGGGUGGGUGGCGUCGACAGUGUGUCUGGGAGCACUGGCAGCAUCCUCAGCAGACUUGACUGGAACGCCAUUGAAGACAUGGUGGCCGGCGUGGACGACAAGAACCUGCCUCUCCGCUGGGCCUUGGACCUGUAAGACCUGCGUAUCAUUGUGUUUCCCGGCAGAGACUAGCAUCUCCUUGAUGUAGUUCUGAAAGAUUGGAGUGGUUAAGGGAGAGAAGCAACGAAGGAAGCAGCAUGAAUGUACCACCUGCAGCCAUAUCAUUCCCUGGAUUAGCCGUUUCAAGAGGGAAAAUAAACACUUCUCAAUAAUUUUGCCUUCAUGGGGAAAGGGCUGUUCACCUAGAGAUACAUGCUUUUGCAUUUGGUAUCUCUUUAGGCAUACUUUUUACAAUGUUGAAAAAAUGAACCUGUCAAGCCAGUUUACAUAAUAUUUAAGUUAUUUCAAUAAAAAUCUUCUAUAUCACCUCCUCCUUUACUACCCCCCAAGUUUUGAGAAGCAACCUUAUAUGGAUAAACCCGACGGAAAAAUUCUUUCGUUGUGGAGAAGAAAGUCACAAUCUCGCCCUGAGACAUGAUGAGCUCCAUUUUAAAACAGAGCCUUAAACUCACCUGUGCAGGCCUGGCCCAGGAGUGAAAAAGGAACCACUUUCCACCAAUACUGGACUUCUAAAUAAGCCAAGUUUCACGGAGGCCAGAUCUGGCCUCUGCUCUGUAACCUGAAAAGCCUUGAAGAAACAGGGCUGGAUGCUUUGAGUGGGAAACAGGAUUCCCGACUGUAGAAAGCUCACGUUAACUUUAUAAAAACUACGGUGCAGAGACGUGGGUAGUUUCUGGCGUUGCACCCAAAUAAUAAUUUGGGAGAUAAUUUUUGUGAGAAGAAACUAAAAACACCCAUUUGUCAAUUUUUGGUGUAGUAUCAAAGAAUACUACUGUCUGAAAAAGCUAUGAAAUAUACCUCCUUUUCCAACUACAUUUGUGAGGCCAGAUUUUUUUCGUAUGUACUUUGACCAGAACAACAUGCUGGAACAGGUUGGAUGCAGAAGCAGGUAUGGGAAUUCAGCUUCUUCCAUUAAGCCAAACAUUAAAGACAUUUGUAAAACUAUGAAACUGCUACUCUGCUCAUCAAGUUUUGAUUUGGAAAAUAUCUUUUGUAAACGUGUCUUAUAAACAUUGGGUCAUUGUAAUUAAAAAUGUUUACACAUU